rnacentral:rRNA from 1 species
CCUACGGGAGGCAGCAGUGAGGAAUAGUGGUCAAUGGGCGCGAGCCUGAACCAGCCAAGUAGCGUGAAGGAUGACUGCCCUACGGGUUGUAAACUUCUGUUAUAAAGGAAUAAAGUGAGGCACGUGUGCCUUGUUGUAUGUACUUUAUGAAUAAGGAUCGGCUAACUCCGUGCCAGCAGCCGCGGUAAUACGGAGGAUCCGAGCGUUAUCCGGAUUUAUUGGGGUUAAAGGGAGCGUAGAUGGGUUGUUAAGUCCGUUGUGACAGUUUGCGGCUCAACCGUAAAAUUGCAAUUGAUACUGUCAGUCUUGAGUACAGUUGAGGUAGGCGGAAUUCGUGGUGUAGCGGU